rnacentral:rRNA from 1 species
UAACGCGUGGGUAACCUGCCUCACACCGGGGGAUAACAGUUAGAAAUAGCUGCUAAUACCGCAUAAGCGCACGGUUCCGCAUGGAACAGUGUGAAAAACUCCGGUGGUGUGAGAUGGACCCGCGUCUGAUUAGCCAGUUGGCGGGGUAACGGCCCACCAAAGCGACGAUCAGUAGCCGGCCUGAGAGGGUGAACGGCCACAUUGGGACUGAGACACGGCCCAAACUCCUACGGGAGGCAGCAGUGGGGAAUAUUGCACAAUGGGGGAAACCCUGAUGCAGCGACGCCGCGUGAGUGAAGAAGUAUUUCGGUAUGUAAAGCUCUAUCAGCAGGGAAGAAAGUGACGGUACCUGAAUAAGAAGCCCCGGCUAACUACGUGCCAGCAGCCGCGGUAAUACGUAGGGGGCAAGCGUUAUCCGGAUUUACUGGGUGUAAAGGGAGCGUAGACGGCAAGGCAAGUCUGAAGUGAAAGCCCGGUGCUUAACGCCGGGACUGCUUUGGAAACUGUUUGGCUGGAGUGCCGGAGAGGUAAGCGGAAUUCCUAGUGUAGCGGUGAAAUGCGUAGAUAUUAGGAAGAACACCAGUGGCGAAGGCGGCUUACUGGACGGUAACUGACGUUGAGGCUCGAAAGCGUGGGGAGCAAACAGGAUUAGAUACCCUGGUAGUCCACGCCGUAAAACGAUGAUUGCUAGGUGU